CAGAGCCAAGAGCUGCUGCGAGAGAUCGCAGACUGUCAGCGCCUUACUGUCACCCGCAAGGAAAGACUCAUGACGCUCAAGAAACAGUCAUCUCAGAUUACUUUACAGGCUCAGCAGGAAAGGGAGAAUUUCCAGAGAGAGAAGAACAAUUUGCUCGUCAUGCUUCAGAAGGAGAGAGAGAAAUUGGUGUCUUUGGAAGGAAAGUAUGCAGAGCUGUCUGAGGGGCAGACCUUCACUAACAAUCCUGUAGCCAUCAAAGAGCACUUGCACACUCUGAAGGAAAGACGAAGAAGCAGCAAGGAAAAUUCAUCACACCCAAAUGACAGUCUACCUCAUAAAAGGAGCCAGCAGCUGCUCACCACUUAUGGCAGAUCCCUCGGACGCACGCUUCCUCCAAAGGUCUUUAGGUUUUUUCAGAAAAUCUGAGCAGACGGAAAAGGUUGGCUCAAACU
rnacentral:lncRNA from 1 species